ACGGGUGAGUAACACGUGGGUGAUCUGCCCUGCACUUCGGGAUAAGCCUGGGAAACUGGGUCUAAUACCGGAUAUGACCUCCUAUCGCAUGGUGGGUGGUGGAAAGAUUUAUCGGUGCAGGAUGGGCCCGCGGCCUAUCAGCUUGUUGGUGGGGUAAUGGCCUACCAAGGCGACGACGGGUAGCCGACCUGAGAGGGUGACCGGCCACACUGGGACUGAGACACGGCCCAGACUCCUACGGGAGGCAGCAGUGGGGAAUAUUGCACAAUGGGCGAAAGCCUGAUGCAGCGACGCCGCGUGAGGGAUGACGGCCUUCGGGUUGUAAACCUCUUUCAGCAGGGACGAAGCGCAAGUGACGGUACCUGCAGAAGAAGCACCGGCUAACUACGUGCCAGCAGCCGCGGUAAUGCGUAGGGUGCAAGCGUUGUCCGGAAUUACUGGGCGUAAAGAGUUCGUAGGCGGUUUGUCGCGUCGUUUGUGAAAACCAGCAGCUCAACUGCUGGCUUGCAGGCGAUACGGGCAGACUUGAGUACUGCAGGGGAGACUGGAAUUCCUGGUGUAGCGGUGAAAUGCGCAGA
rnacentral:rRNA from 1 species